GACGAACGCUGGCGGCGUGCUUAACACAUGCAAGUCGAACGGAAAGGCCCUGCUUUUGUGGGGUGCUCGAUUGGCGAACGGGUGAGUAACACGUGAGUAACCUGCCCUUGACUUUGGGAUAACUUCAGGAAACUGGGGCUAAUACCGGAUAGGAGCUCCUGCUGCAUGGUGGUGGUUGGAAAGUUUCGGCGGUUGGGGAUGGACUCGCGGCUUAUCAGCUUGUUGGUGGGGUAGUGGCUUACCAAGGCUUUGACGGGUAGCCGGCCUGAGAGGGUGACCGGCCACAUUGGGACUGCGAUACGGCCCAGACUGCUACGGGAGGCAGCAGUGGGGAAUAUUGCACAAUGGGCGGAAGCCUGAUGCAGCAACGCCGCGUGCGGGAUGACGGCCUUCGGGUUGUAAACCGAUUUCGCCUGUGACGAAGCGUGAGUGACGGUAAUGGGUAAAGAAGCACCGGCUAACUACGUG
rnacentral:rRNA from 1 species